GCUCAGUGUUGCUUUGAGCUGAUUGGUUAAGCUGACUGUCACUCAGGAAUCUGGCCAAUGACUAGCGAGCGCGCCGUUUUCCCGCUCAAAUUUGAAUAUACACUUUCACAGCAGUGUCUGUCAGUGGUGUGCCGCUGCUGCUCGGCUUCUGCAGUCUGCGGCGGUCGCUCCUCUAGUAAUGGCUUUUAUAUGUAUUAUCUGAGUGUUAAAUUCAUAUUUUGAGUGAGUUUGUGUUGUGGGAUGACGAUUGAGAACGAAUAAACGCGAAUUUGGACACUUCUACCAGCAGCUAACAGACAAGCAAACUGCAAAAGAGAGGACCUGAACGCAUGAUCCUUGGACUCCUUGGAGAAGAAUACUGGAUGCAAGACAGGAUUUUGGAUCAGCUGUGAAGAUUUUGUAUGGAGCUGGCGAGUACAUUUUUGCAAGCCCAUGUCUCUGUCACUAAUUCAGCUGAUUGCUGGCAAUUUGGAGGAGGACUGCUCUUUAUCUGCUGUGUCUGUCACUUCUGGCCAUGGACCUUUUCUUGAGUCUGACAACAGCCAGUGCUCCACACAGAGAUCUGAUCUCAUCGUCUAAAUCCAGAAGAACUGUGGCAGCGUCUCCAAGAAGCUUCAAGAAACCUACCUGCAAAGCUAAAAGUUUUAGGCACUUGUGUAAAAAUUCUGUUAAAUGAGGAUGUUGUCAAAAAUAAUGCCAUAAAUAAAUUUUCUUUAUCAAUUAACUUUUAUAACUAAAUUAAAUCAACAUUUAGUGUGACCAUCCUUUGCGUUUAAAGCAGCUUUUGCUCUAGGUGCACGUGUGGUUAGUUUUUCAAGUAACUUUUCAGAUAGGUUUCUUGAAGCAUCUUGGAGACGUUGCCACAGUUCUUCUGGAUUUAGUCUCAGUUUGUUCUGUUUCUUCAUGUCAUUCCAGACAGACUGAUGAUGAUCAAGUCAGAUCUCUGUGUGCAGCACUGGCUGUCGUCAGACUCCUUGUGCAAACAAAAAUCACACUGG